rnacentral:rRNA from 1 species
AUGGAGGUGGAAUUGUCCUUCCUCCAAGACUUGUUCUAUAGCAAGCAUUCCGCUAUGUUUGCUGACGGAUUUCCAUACAGGAGAAUGCUCAUGUCUUUGUCUCUUGUUGCUGCUACCGGCUACCUUGUAUAUCCUGUCCGUCAUAUACCAGAGAGGAUGGAUCAAGCAGACAAAAAUAUCAUCACUCACGGGGUGAUGGUCACUCGCAUCAUAGUUGGUCUUAUCAUUGCCAAGGAGCUGUCAGAGGUCUAUCUAUAUGUAUUCUCUCAAUGGAACAAGGUUCUGAUGAUCUGUAUGUACGUCAAGCAUCGGUGCUGGCGGAACCUGAUAGUGGAGGCAGUAAUGCGAACGAUGUUCUGGUUCAUCAGGGGCAAGUGGGAUCAAAGGAUCUUCCAGUAUAACCUUCUGAUUUCUGAUUCGCAUCGUUGGAACAAAUUUCACAGAAUAUUCAAGUUGGCCAAAUUUCCCACAAGAAUGAAGCUGGAGUCAGAGGUAAAGACGGCGAUACUUGAGUCGUUCAAGGGCCUGCAGCAUCCAGAAAGAAAGUUGGAAACCUACUUAUUAAAUGCCUUCGGAUCAAACGAGGCCCUUAUGCAGCAGCUAAGAAGGGCAAAUGGGCCGGAGUCAAAUGAAUCCCUUAUGCAGCAGCUAACAGGGGCAAAUGAUACCCACAGCAUACUGGUCUGGCACAUCGCAACAUGCUUGUGCGAGAUACAUACCUCUGAUGAAGCGAAAAACCCGAAGGUUAGAUGGCUUCGAAACAGGCUCUUGGCCAAGAAAUCAACAAUUCCAGAAGAUGUGUGGCCACAUUACUUAACUGCUGUCAGCUUAUCGAAUUAUUGUGCAUACCUGCUUACCAUAGCAUUGGUGCCGGACAACGGCAUUGUUGUUAGAAAGGUCUUGAAUGCGGUGCGUUGUGAAAUCUAUCAUGCUACUGGUCGCUCUGCAUCCCAGUCGAUGCAAAAUGUUUACAGCAAAGUUAUCAAGAUUGCCACGAAGCCCUCUAAAGAGUCCAAGCAGGAGGUGCCCAGUGGAAUGGGUAAUGUAGUAGAACAAGUAGCCCCUGAAAGUUCAGUAAUCCAGGGAGAAGCACUCAGGGUCCAGAUGGCUAAUGAUGAAGAAAAUCCUGAUACAAUGGGAGGUGAUGCCACUAACAGUUCCAUACCAACUACAGAUAGGGACGAUACUAUUGUACGUAAUGAUGAUAUCCAUAAUUCGAUAACCCAGAUGGGUGCAAAGCUUGGGAAGCAGUUGAUAGAUGCUUAUGAAGAAGAUAGAGUAGGCCUUUGGAGGGAUCUAGCAGUGUUUUGGACAGGUUUCCUCCUACACUUGGCAGCAUCAACCAGAGCAGCCAAGCAUAAGACACGACUUGCUGGAAAUAGGGAGCUCAUAACACACCUGUGGAUUUUGCUGUCUCAUGCCGGGUUUCUCGGAAAUGUCAGGCACGGGCAAACAAUCUUAGACCCAGAAGACCUUGAUGACGUCAACCCGCUCAGGUGA